rnacentral:rRNA from 1 species
UACGUAGGGGGCAAGCGUUGUCCGGAAUUAUUGGGCGUAAAGCGCGCGCAGGCGGCCUUGUAAGUCUGUUGUUUAAACUCGGGGCUCAACCCCGAGUCGCAAUGGAAACUGCAAAGCUUGAGUACAGAAGAGGAAAGUGGAAUUCCACGUGUAGCGGUGAAAUGCGUAGAUAUCUGGAGGAACACCGGUGGCGAAGGCGGCAUCCUGGACCGACACUGACGCUGAGGAGCGAAAGCCAGGGGAGCAAACGGG